rnacentral:rRNA from 1 species
GACGAACGCUGGCGGCGUGCUUAACACAUGCAAGUCGAACGGAAAGGCCCUGCUUUUGUGGGGUGCUCGAGUGGCGAACGGGUGAGUAACACGUGAGUAACCUGCCCUUGACUUUGGGAUAACUUCAGGAAACUGGGGCUAAUACCGGAUAGGAGCUCCUGCUGCAUGGUGGGGGUUGGAAAGUUUCGGCGGUUGGGGCUGGACUCGCGGCUUAUCAGCUUGUUGGUGGGGUAGUGGCUUACCAAGGCUUUGACGGGUAGCCGGCCUGAGAGGGUGACCGGCCACAUUGGGACUGCGAUACGGCCCAGACUCCUACGGGAGGCAGCAGUGGGGAAUAUUGCACAAUGGGCGGACGCCUGAUGCAGCAACGCCGCGUGCGUGAUGACGGCCUUCGGGUUGUAAACCGCUUUCGCCUGUGACGAAGCGUGAGUGACGGUAAUGGGUAAAGAAGCACCGGCUAACUACGUG